rnacentral:rRNA from 1 species
AACGAACGCUGGCGGCAUGCCUAACACAUGCAAGUCGAACGAGACCUUCGGGUCUAGUGGCGCACGGGUGCGUAACGCGUGGGAACCUGCCCUUAGGUUCGGAAUAACUCCCCGAAAGGGGUGCUAAUACCGGAUAAUGUCUUCGGACCAAAGAUUUAUCGCCUUUGGAUGGGCCCGCGUUGGAUUAGCUAGUUGGUAGGGUAAAAGCCUACCAAGGCGACGAUCCAUAGCUGGUCUGAGAGGAUGAUCAGCCACACUGGGACUGAGACACGGCCCAGACUCCUACGGCAGGCAGCAGUGGGGAAUAGUGGACAAUGGGCGAAAGCCUGAUCCAGCAAUGCCGCGUGAGUGAUGAAGGCCUUAGGGUUGUAAAGCUCUUUUACCCGGGAUGAUAAUGACAGUACCGGGAGAAUAAGCUCCGGCUAACUCCGU